rnacentral:lncRNA from 1 species
GUGCGAAAUUGGGCUGCUUAGAGGCCCAAGUGAACAAGCGGAGUGCUGAGGACUCGUCGCGUUGGCGACGGAGAGCGUCGAGGAGUUGAGUUGAAGUGAAAUUGGAAGGGAGUUGACGAGAGAAAGUGGAAGAUGAAGAUGAUAGUGAGGUGAGUUGCUGAUGGUCAUGGUGUUGUGUGGAGGCAAAAGAAAUGGUGGUGGGUUUGGAAGAUAAAGGGAGGAGGGAUUGUCGUGGGAGAGGCCAAGGGUGACUCUUGAGACACGAAGAGAGUGACAUUUCAGGGGAUUUGACGGAGAUUGAACAUGAAAAUUUGGAAAAGAAAGUUUCUUUCUUUCAGGAAUGAGCUAGUGAGCUGCAGCUGGAGUGAAAACAACUGGAUUUUCCUUUUUCUUUUUUUCUUUUUUUUUUUUUUCCCUUGAAGGUCGUUUCCGGGCGGUUUUCUGCCAAUUGCAUAAACCAACCCUGAAUCCUUAACUUAGGCGGCUGAGGAGAUGCCAACGACGUCGUUAGCAGUGUUUUAAAAGCCUACCAACCAAAACGCUACGUUUGUUUCCAGGGGCGAUGGUUUAACUAUUUUGGACAGUUUAAUCUUCGGGGCCCAAUAUUUGGGUCCAACUAACCCCUGCAUCCACUGUGAGUUAUUGGGCCCUUACCCAACCCAAUGUUAAACAUUUUCUUUCACAUCUUCUUGAGGUUCCCCCCGGAGUCACACCCUGUGUCCCUGUCUGAAAUUAUAGUACGGUAGAAUUUUAAUAAAUUAAAGCUCAAUAAAUUGAUAAUCUCGAUAUAAAUAAUAAUUUUAUCGAUCCCAAGCUAAUAUGGUAAUUAAUAAUUUAAUAAAUUUAUUAUAUAAUAAAAUUUUAAAAAAAUUUUAUUUUUCUAUAAGACCCAACUAAUAUAAAAAUUAAUAACGAAUUAAUUUAAAAAUAAAUACGUAUGAUAUGUUUAUGAUUUUCUUUGUUAUAAUGACAUAAUGCUUCACAUAUUUCAUUGGUUAUUGUUAUAUUCUAUGUGCUACAUUGGUUAUUGUUGUAUUCUAUAUGCCAUGUUAAGAAAAAUAAGAGAGAGAUUAGUUAAUAUGUCACCUCCAAAUAGUCUUCUCCGAUGAGUUACUGAAUAAUUGCUAUCCAGCCAUGCAAUUGUUAGCCUAUAUGGCUAUAAAUAUUGAUUUUGAUGAUAACAAACCACAUGUAUUUAUUAAGUGAAGAUUUAUGAAUUGUGCUUUUAUAAUAAGAAAAUGAUGUUAUGGAAUUAAAGCAUUUUGGAUUAAAAUGAAAGUAAUUUCAAAAUCUUUGAUAGUGUUUAAAUUUCGGAUUUGGACCUAUUUGAAACUAUUUAAAUGUUUUUGGGUCAUUCUAUAAUUUCACAAAGUUUGGGAGAAAUCAUAAUUUCAGAAAGUUUUGGGAUUAACGAAGCAUUACUUAGAAGUUCUGAAAUUGGACUUAUUUGUAAAGUUUCAUAACAUUUUGGGUCAUAUUAUAGUUUUAUAAAGUUUUAGGGUCAAACUGAAAAUUUGAGAAAUAUUUCACUGUAGUAGGUUACUGUAGCAAGCGGCUAUCCAGAUUUUGAAAACCGGAAAUCCGGAUACGGGCAGUAAGCGUCCAGAACGAAAACAGCUUAUCGGAUUCCGUAACCGGCAAGCCAGAUAGGCAAAAUUCAAAUUUUUGCCCUAACGGUAACAUAAAUUCGGCUUACCGGAUUCUAUAAACGGUAAACCGGAUACGCCUGGAAUGUGAGUAACGGCUAGUUUUUGAGCUCAAACUAUAAGAACUCAAAUCCAACUCAUUUUGAAGCUCUCCAACAAGUAAAAAUAAAAAGCACACGAGAUAUCUUGAGCCUUCAAACUUGCAAACUACAUACAUUGAAUCAUUCAUUGUUCUUCAUCUUUGAAUAUCUACUCAUUGAGUGAGUUUCAUUGUAACUUUCAUUUCUUCAUUUCAAUUGUAAGAAUUUGAGUGUGUGAGACACUUGAGUGAAGAGAUUGGGAGAUAAUUUCUUCGUUGUAAAGGUUUAUUGACACCUCGAAGUCAAUUGUAAUCGGUUGAAGCCUCGGAAAGGCUUGGAUAGUGAAAUCCUCAAGCUUGGAUUGCUUGGAGGCGUGGACGUAGGCGGGGAUUGCCGAACCACGUAAAAAUCCGUGUGUUUGUUUCUCUUCUCCCUUACUCUUUAAUUAUUGUGCCUUUAUUAAACUUAUUGCUUUCAAUUUUUAUUAAGGCAUUAGAUUGUUUGUUGUGUGGAUUUGCUAGGAUAAUUUUUAAAUUUCCAAUUCACCCCCCCUCUUAGGUUGCACACUUAUAUUUCAUUUGGUAUCAGAGCAAGGUGCUCUUAUUUAGAUUUAACAAUCUAGAGCUAAAGAUCAAUGGCAACUCAAAAUGAUUCCACAUUUAGGGAAGGGCAGUCCACUACUAGACCACCUUACUUUGAUGGAAACGAUUACUCAUAUUGGAAAACUAGGAUGAGAAUUUACUUGUAAGCGAAGAGCAUUUUAUAAAGCUUGGAAUGAUGAAUAUUGAAUCUUAAUUCAUGUUUUACUACAUGGCUUGAUAUGUUUGUUAUCAUAUGGAUUUAUGCUUUAUGAAUUAGACAACUUGAUAUGCUUGUAAAUUUAUGAUUUUAUGAUUUGUUUUUCAUGUAUUAAAUGACUUAUUGAAAAAUUUUAAGUCUCAAAAUGAUUUAAAAUUAAUCAAUUUUUAAGGCCGGAAAUGAAAUAGUGUGUGUAGUACAAGUAUAAGAGCUAGUAAAUAUUCCAUUUCCAUUCAUCCGGAAAAACAUUUUUUUUUAUUGAUCUCUCUCGGGACAAAUUUCAGAUAACCGGAUUCUCAAUCCGAAAAAUCGAAUUAGCUUUGGUUGCUCUCAAGACAAUAUUCGGACAACCGGAUUUGAUAAGCUUCAUCUCUGCCUCAUAACUGGUCUACCGGAUCUUCAAUCUGGAAAACCGAAUUUGGAAGCCAACUCUCUGCCUCACAACCGGUCUACCAGUUAGCAAAACCGGAAAGCCGAAUUCGCGUGCAUGCUUUCUGGAACAACACCGGAUUUCCGGUUCAAGACAAUCCGGAAAACCGGAUUUUUGGAGGCUCUCGAAACCGGCUAGUGGGUCAAAUACAGCGAUAACAAGUUUACCUUUCUAGCCCCAAGUGAUGAUCGGCCACUUAAUGCUGUGAUUCCAACUGAUCAGCUUCCAGUAUUCUCACUCUCUUUUCGAGGGUAGCGUAGACGCCAAGUUUCUUCUACGGUUGCUUCGGCUCCUAGUGCAUCUGCAUCCGUUUCAUCACCUCCACGGCCUCCUAUCUCUGGAGAUGUUACUCUUCAGCAGCUUAUGGAUGAGGUGCGGAUACUUUCGGUGCGGCAGACUGAGCUUCAGCAGGAGCAGCAGCAGCUCAUUCAUGGACAACGCCUCCUCUUUGAGCACUUCGGCAUUCCAUAUUCGUUUCCACCUCCGUCACCUCCAUCCUCACCACCUGAGUAGUAUCUUAUGCUUGUACUUGGACACACCUACAUUUCAUUUACUGCAUUGUGUGUUCUUUUAUUUUCAACUCUAUGGAUGGUUAUUAUGCUUUUUGGUUUAUGCAUUUGUUUUGGAUGAUACUGCUGUACCGUACAUCCGCCUUGGCCGUACAGCAGGAUUAGCUUUGGUUGCUCUCAAGACAAUAUUCGGACAACCGGAUUUGAUAAGCUUCAUCUCUGCCUCAUAACUGGUCUACCGGAUCUUCAAUCUGGAAAACCGAAUUUGGAAGCCAACUCUCUGCCUCACAACCGGUCUACCAGUUAGCAAAACCGGAAAGCCGAAUUCGCGUGCAUGCUUUCUGGAACAACACCGGAUUUCCGGUUCAAGACAAUCCGGAAAACCGGAUUUUUGGAGGCUCUCGAAACCGGCUAGUCGGUUAAGGAAACCGGCAAGCCGAAUUGCCUCUUGCUGCUCUCGGGUCUAUAUCCGGUUUACCAGAUUUCAAAUUCGGAAAGCCGAUUUCGAAUUUCUCCAAUUCUGCUGGCUAACCGGCUUGCCGGUUAGAAAAUCCAGCAAGCCGGAUACGUGACCCUUUUAAGUUGUUCAUCCUCUUCCUCAUGUAUUCGGAAAACCAGUUCUUUAUCUCUCUAAAAACCAUUCUCAUUCUCUCUCUUUUUCACUCCAAAAUCCUUCAUUUUCUAUCCUUUUCACAUCAAAUUGAAUCUAAAAAAUCAUUCUCCAUCUCAUUAAGAACUCAAAACCAUCCUUGGAAUUCAUUUUGAACAUCUAAAUCUUUAGAUCCCAUUUUUAACCUAGGUUUUGAGCCAUUUUUUUCUCUCUCUAGAUUUCUCUCUCUCAAGUCGUUUUUGAUCCAAUUUUCUUCUCCAAAUCACUCUCAAUCUUCAUCAUCAUCGUUCUCCUUAUCCUUUUUAACUCAAAAUCAACCAAAUCUAAAUGUCAAGCUCUCGGUCGGUUUGAAGAAAAUCAACUGAUCAGCUUCCAGUAUUCUCACUCUCUUUUCGAGGGUAGCGUAGACGCCAAGUUUCUUCUACGGUUGCUUCGGCUCCUAGUGCAUCUGCAUCCGUUUCAUCACCUCCACGGCCUCCUAUCUCUGGAGAUGUUACUCUUCAGCAGCUUAUGGAUGAGGUGCGGAUACUUUCGGUGCGGCAGACUGAGCUUCAGCAGGAGCAGCAGCAGCUCAUUCAUGGACAACGCCUCCUCUUUGAGCACUUCGGCAUUCCAUAUUCGUUUCCACCUCCGCCUCCUGAUAUUGAUGACUAUGUUCAUGUUGAUGCCGUUCGUAAUAUUUGUCGGUGUAAUGAUCUUUCUGUUAAAGACUGUACCAUUCAUUUCCGUACUCAGUGUCUUUGUCUUCAAACUUAUUUUUUAUUUCGUACCAUCCGGUCCAUUGUACUUCUUAGAUCAGGACAUUUGGAUGAGGUUUCUCAUAUGGAUGUGGCCAUGAUUGACUGUAUUCUUAGAGGUCGCCCGGUUGACUUGGGCUAUUCAAUCAUCCGCACCAUGUUGAGCAUUCCUGCCUUGAUUACCCGCUCUCUUCCGUAUGGUCACUUUAUUACCCGAAUUCUUAAAUUCUUUGAAGUGCCGAUUCUAGAACUAUCUUGUAGGCCGUCCAAGGGUAUUGGGGAUGAGGUUAUUGUUGGAUUAGGCUUUGAGUGGAAGGAUGGCACUUGGGUCAAAUACAGCGAUAACAAGUUUACCUUUCUAGCCCCAAGUGAUGAUCGGCCACUUAAUGCUGUGAUUCCAACUGAUCAGCUUCCAGUAUUCUCACUCUCUUUUCGAGGGUAGCGUAGACGCCAAGUUUCUUCUACGGUUGCUUCGGCUCCUAGUACAUCUGCAUCCGCUUCAUCACCUCCACGGCCUCCUACCUCUGGAGAUGUCACUCUUCAGCAGCUUAUGGAUGAGGUUCGGACACUUUCGGUGCGGCAGACUGAGCUUCAGCAGCAGCAGCAGCUCAUUCAUGGACAGCGCCUCCUCUUUGAGCACUUCGGCAUUCCAUAUCCGUUUCCACCUCCUUCACCUCCAUCCUCACCACCUGAGUAGUAUCUUAUGCUUGUACUUGGACACACCUACAUUUCAUUUGCUGCAUUGUGUGUUCUUUUAUUUUCGACUCUAUGGAUGGUUAUUAUGCUUUUCGGUUUAUGUAUUUGUUUUGGAUGAUAUGGAUUUGUUGUGACUAUUUAUGUUGGAUGUUAAAAUCGAGUAAUCACCACAGUUGGAGGAGUUUUGAUUGAAUUUGAUGAUUUGGAGUUGAACUCCAUCCUAGGAUCUUCCGAUGAUGGCCUGGACAUUUUUUCUCUUAGGAAACCUCCUGAUAUUGAUGACUAUGUUCAUGUUGAUGCCGUUCGUAAUAUUUGUCGGCGUAGUGAUCUUUCUGUUGAAGACUGUACCAUUCAUUUCCGUACUCAGUGUCUUUGUCUUCAAACUUAUUUUUUAUUUCGUACCAUCCGGUCCAUUGUACUUCUUAGAUCAGGACAUUUGGAUGAGGUUUCUCAUAUGGAUGUGGCCAUGAUUGACUGUAUUCUUAGAGGUCGCCCGGUUGACUUGGGCUAUUCAAUCAUCCGCACCAUGUUGAGCAUUCCUGCCUUGAUUACCCGCUCUCUUCCGUAUGGUCACUUUAUUACCCGAAUUCUUAAAUUCUUUGAAGUGCCGAUUCUAGAACUAUCUUGUAGGCCGUCCAAGGGUAUUGGGGAUGAGGUUAUUGUUGGAUUAGGCUUUGAGUGGAAGGAUGGCACUUGGGUCAAAUACAGCGAUAACAAGUUUACCUUUCUAGCCCCAAGUGAUGAUCGGCCACUUAAUGCUGUGAUUCCAACUGAUCAGCUUCCAGUAUUCUCACUCUCUUUUCGAGGGUAGCGUAGACGCCAAGUUUCUUCUACGGUUGCUUCGGCUCCUAGUGCAUCUGCAUCCGUUUCAUCACCUCCACGGCCUCCUAUCUCUGGAGAUGUUACUCUUCAGCAGCUUAUGGAUGAGGUGCGGAUACUUUCGGUGCGGCAGACUGAGCUUCAGCAGGAGCAGCAGCAGCUCAUUCAUGGACAACGCCUCCUCUUUGAGCACUUCGGCAUUCCAUAUUCGUUUCCACCUCCGUCACCUCCAUCCUCACCACCUGAGUAGUAUCUUAUGCUUGUACUUGGACACACCUACAUUUCAUUUACUGCAUUGUGUGUUCUUUUAUUUUCAACUCUAUGGAUGGUUAUUAUGCUUUUUGGUUUAUGCAUUUGUUUUGGAUGAUAUGGAUUUGUUGUGACUAUUUAUGUUGGAUGUUAUGGAUUUGUUUUGAUUGAUCAUUAUGGAUUAUAUGGAUUUUCUUAUGCUUAUGGAUAUUUUUUUUACUAAUGUGCUUGUGUUGCGAUUUUGAUGAUUGAUAGGGGGAGCCUUUAUUCUUUUUGAUAAUGAAGGGGGAGAAUGAUUUAAUAUGUGUUAUGAAAAUAUGCAUGUAUUUAGGGGGAACAUGUAUGCAGGGGGAGUUUUUGUUAAACAAUUUUCAAAUCAUUUUUUUUAACUUGCAUUGAUUAAGGGGGAGCUUUUUCAUAACAAGAUUAAAGUUUUUAAUGUGUUUUGUCAUCAUAAAAAAUGGGGAGAUUGUUAGCCUAUAUGGCUAUAAAUAUUGAUUUUGAUGAUAACAAACCACAUGUAUUUAUUAAGUAAAGAUUUAUGAAUUGUGCUUUUAUAAUAAGAAAAUGAUGUUAUGGAAUUAAAGCAUUUUGGACUAAAAUGAAAGUAAUUUCAAAAUCUUUGAUAGUGUUUUAAAUUUCGGAUUUGGACUUAUUUGAAACUAUUUAAAUAUUCAUUACUUAGAAAUUCUGAAAUUGGACUUAUUUGCAAAGUUUCAUAACGUUUUGGGCCAUACUACAGUUUUAUAAAGUUUUGGGGUCAAACAAAAAAUUUGAGAAAUAUUUCCUUGUAGCAGGUUACUGUAGCAAGCGGCUAUCCGGAUUCUGAAAACUGAAAAUCUGGAUACGGGCAGUAAGCAUCUAGAACGCAAACGGCUUACCGGAUUCCGUAACCGGCAAGCCGGAUAGGCAAAAUUCAAAUUUUUGCCUUAACGGUAACAUAAAUCCGGCUUACCGGAUUCCAUAAACGGCAAAUCGAAUACGCCUGGAACGUGAGUAACAGCUAGUUUUUGAACUCAAACUAUAAAAACUCAAAUCCAACUCAAUUUGAAGCUCUCCAACAAGCAAAAACAAAAAGCACACGAGAUAUCUUGAGCCUUAAAACUUGCAAACUACAUACAUUGAAGAAAUUGGACUUAUUUGUAAAGUUUCAUAACGUUUUGGGCCAUACUAUAAUUUUAUAAAGUUUUGGGGUCAAAUUGAAAAUUUGAGAAAUAUUUCAUUGUAGCAGGUUACUGUAGCAAGCGGCUAUCCGGAUUCUGAAAACUGAAAAUCCGGAUACGGGCAGUAAGCGUUUAGAACGAAAACGGCUUACCGGAUUCCGUAACCGGCAAGCCGGAUAGGCAAAAUUCAAAUUUUUGCCUUAACGGUAACAUAAAUCCGGCUUACCGGAUUCCAUAAACGGCAAAUCGAAUACGCCUGGAACGUGAGUAACAGCUAGUUUUUGAACUCAAACUAUAAAAACUCAAAUCCAACUCAAUUUGAAGCUCUCCAACAAGCAAAAACAAAAAGCACACGAGAUAUCUUGAGCCUUCAAACUUGCAAACUACAUACAUUGAAUCAUUCAUUGUUCUUCAUCUUUGAAUAUCUACUCAUUGAGUAAGUUUUAUUGUAACUUUCAUUUCUUUAUUUCAAUUGUAAGAAUUGGAGUGUGUGAGACACUUGAGUGAAGAGAUUGGGAGAUAAUUUGUUCGUUGUAAAGGUUUAUUGACACCUCGAAGUCAAUUGUAAUCGGUUGAAGCCUCGGAAAGGCUUGGAUAGUGAAAUCCUCAAGCUUGGAUUGCUUGGAGGCGUGGACGUAGGCGGGGAUUGCCGAACCACGUAAAAAUCUGUGUGUUUGUUUCUCUUCUCUCUUACUCUUUAAUUAUUGUGCCUUUAUUAAACUUAUUGCUUUCAAUUUUUAUUAAGGCAUUAGAUUGUUUGUUGUGUGGAUUUGCUAAGAUAAUUUUUAAAUUUCCAAUUCACCCCCCCUCUUGGAUUGCACACUUAUAUUUCAGCAAUCUAGUGAAAAGAAUAUCAUAUGAUUGUUUCUUUCAAUUAAGAUAAAAUCAAAAUCAUAUCAUAUAGUUUGACAGAAUCACUGUAUUAUUUAAUUAUACUAUCAUACUUGAUAAAAGCUUAUAUUAUGAGCCUGAUAUUAUCUUUAAAUAUUAAAAUAUUAUUAAUUUAUCGAUAUAUUAAUAUUUACUCAAUUUAUGAGGUUAUAAUGUAUUUAUACUUUUCUCGUAUCAUAUCCCGCAAAAUCUAAAAAAAGUAUCUUAAGAGUAAUUGUAGAAAUAGCACUAAAUUAUUUAUUAAUCACAUCAGUUGUCACAUAAAUUGAAAUUCAAGAGUUUAGACUCCGCAUAAGAGUUAAGACUUAAAUACUGAGACCCUAACAUAUUACUGGAAUGAAUUCUUAUCGAUAGACAUAUGAGUCAACAUAAUCUUAUCAAAUAGACAACUAGAAUGUUGAGGAAACGAAGUACAUAGAAAUCGAAAUGCGUAGUUAUAAUUAAUUAACUAGCCAUAACUUCGGGAACCAACGAAUAUGUAUUGGAAGGCCGCGGGAGAUUAACAAAAGUUCGCUUCCCACACCGUGCUAGAAUAAACAUAGUACUUUCCUUUUCCAAUGCACCAAACAUUAAGCAGUUAGCAAACGUUGCAUUGAAUGUGCAUUUGCUUGUAUUUACUUGCAAAAGUUUUGCUCUUAUCAAUAACACCUAGAUUGCAUUGUGCACAUGAUACUCAUGUCUGUAAAUUAGCUGUAACGAAUUGGUACGAACUUAUGAGCCUUCAGCAUUAGAGAAAUUUUAGAAUAUAUCAAAAAUAUCUUGCUGAUAACUCUAUAAAAUGAGAGUUAUCCUGACACUAUUAGACUUAAAUCAAGAUUACUUAGAGAGUAAGUGAUAUUUUUUUAAUUGCAUUUUAGUUAUAUUUAGCAUGAAUAUCCAUUUUAGUUUAUUUUUAAUAAAUUACGUUGUUUUAUAAUAAUUUGUGUGCUUAGAUCGUAUGUAUAAUUGUAGGUGAUCGGAAACUCAAAUUUCAAGGGAGGAAUGCUGCUACAAUAGGCUUGCAAAAAUAAAGAAAGAACAUGGUUAUAGAAGAAUUGAAACAAGUCUAAAAUAGUGCAGGUGCUGAAGCCAUUACUAUAACAUUGUUGCUAUAGUAAUUCUGGAGCAUUGAUAAAGAAGAUUUCACGCAAAAUACUUAGAAGAUUGCGAUAUGGAGUUUCCUAAAAUGGAAGAUAUGCGCCCUAGACUUUUGGUUGCUCUAAUUCUAAGAUAUAGAAGGAGCCACACUCAAAGAAAAGAAGAGAGUCGUCACCCAAGGAGAAAAACUGCAAAGAAACAAAAGAAAAACAUAAUUCAAGAGAGAGAUUGAAGGCUGCACUAGCAAAGAAAACACAUAGAUCCAUUGAAAAUCAGUCAUUCUUGUUCUUUUCUUGUUUUUAUUUAUUCACGGGGAUGUAUUUCGUGGCUAAAACUCUUUUAUUUAUUUUUCUUUCGCAAAUCAUGAAAUAAAUUUGAUUGUAGUUGAGUUAUGAAUGAUCUUAAUGGGUGUUUGACUGACAUAUUCAUGGUAAUCUGUAUUUGCUGCAGCAGUUUAUCUUAAUUGUAUUUAUUUUCUACAUCAUGUUGCUUUGCCGCUCGUUGUGGCAGUUGCUGUAAUUGAAAAUUGAAAUAAGGUUAUCAAUAGCAUUAAAUACCCACCGCAUGAUUGAUGAUUUUCAACAUAAUUCGUAACCAAUAAUGAUUUUUGUAAUGGUAGUAUGGCACCCACUAGGGAUGACAAUAAAAUUCGGAUUCGGCCCGCAUCCGCAAGGAUCCGGAAGAUCCGGAUCCAAAAAUUCGGAUCCCAUGUUAAAAAAUGCGGAUCCGGAUGUAAGAAAUUAAAAUCUGCACGAAUUCGGAUUCGGAUUGAGAUACAAGUGCAUCUGGAAAGUCGGAUAUCCGGAUCCGAUUAAUUUUUAUAUUAGAUUAAAAAAUAUAUAUUAACUUACUUAAAAACAAAUUUAACCCAACUCUCACAUUCACACACACGCUCACAACACUUUACCAGCAGCCACAACCCACAAAUCCCUAACACCCAAAUCCCCCAAAUUCCGUAGGAUGUCGUCGUCUGCCUCACGGCCUCGCCUAAGCCUCGUGUCCAAGCCUCGAUCUGAGUCGGUUGCUGUCGCUGCGUGCUGCACACCUCGAUCUGAGUCAGUUGCUGCCACUACACGCUCGAUUUGAGUUAGUUGUUGCCGCUACACGCUCGACCUGAGUUAGUUGCUACCGCGCCUCGCCUCGCUGCGUGCUACACGCCUCGAUUAGGUUUUAAUUUGAAAAAAGUGUUGAAUUUUUAAAUUAUAUUUAAAUUAUUAAAUUUAAUUUUUGUUGAUCCGGAUAUUCGGUAUAUCCGCCUGCAAUCCAGACGAAUAUUACCCACAUCUGGAUCCGCAAAAAAAAAUUCCCGAAUACAAAUCCAAAUCCAAAUAUAAAAAUAUCAAUCCGGAUAUACCUGUAUCCGAAUUUUGCCAUCCCCAGUACCCACUGCCCGUGCAAUAAUACAUUGACCAUUGAUGCAAUAAGGUAUGGGGCCAUGAAACUCAUCCAAUUCAUUCAUUCACGUGUCCUGCAUUUAUUAUCUCCACUUCACCUUCUUCAACAUUUAUUGCCACCAUCAAAUUCCACAAUGUUCGCCCUUGAAAGUUUUUAUUAUUCAUGUUAAAGAGAUUGUUCUGCUUGGGCCACUUGGCCCUAGCUAAUGCAUAAUCAUCAAAUCAUUGGCAUGGAAAAGUCUUUUGGUACACAGACAAUUUUGCAUAUGUUGAUCAUUUAAUAGAACUUUUAUCAUUAUAUCUAACUAUUCCUACGAUACAAUAUUUCAUUGGAUAUGAACAUAUAUGUCUUGCCGAGAGUAUACAUAAAGCUUAUAUUUAUUUUUACUACCGUUCAAUAAAAUCAUGCUAUUUAUACAAUCAUCAAAAAAACAAUAUGUAAUUUUUUUAGGAGAAAUUUUUAUUGAAGUAAUUUUGGGAUAAGAACAUUUCGGUUCAGUAGUUUCCAAUGUUAUUUUUCAAGUACGGAUGUAGCUCGUCCAAUUACAUCAAAUAGGUCCAUGAUUCCUCCCAAGUUUUGUUUUGUUCUUCUUCUUUUAAUAUCACAUUACCACAAUCUCUUAAUCAAUUCUAUAAUGGCAAAAUUUAAAUAUUUUGUUUGGAUUUAGAAUAAAUGGAACCUAUUUUUGAAUGAUUAAAAGAAAAUUAACCUCACAAAUACACAUAAGUAAACUCAAACUUUGUGGAAAGAGAAUUAAUUUACUAUUAGGUUAUUGGAUGGUUCUCUUGACCCUUAAUUUUUUAAGAAAAAAAAAGGAGAUGAAGGCCCUAACCCCAUUUGAGAAGUAUCUAAAUGCUCUUUACUCUGUAAUAGUUUUGGCAUAGUCUUACAUUCUUAAAAUUCAUUCAAAUGGAGAAGUUAGCGGACUAAUUUUAAAAAAAAAUAAAGAUCUAAAGUUAUUAACCGUUUUCUAAUUUUCUAUUAAGAAAUUUUUUGCUGGAAUAUGGAAACCUAUAAGCAAUUGCGAAUGUAUUGACCGCAAUUUGCAAAACUCGGUGACUCUGGAAUGAUCUCUCCGCGUACGCGUGAGUGCGUGUCGGUAUAAAUAUGAAGGACUUAUCACAUUGCCCACAUUGACGACCCACCCCAACAAUUAGGUUACAUGCCUCUUUCGUCAUAAAAGAUUAUCAAUUCUUAAUUAAUUUGGCUCUUUUCUGCCGUCCAAAAAAUCUUAAUUUCCCAAUGUUAGAUUUGAAUUGAUUGAAGAGUUUGAAACUAUUGGCACCUCUUUAAUAACUUCUUAAAACUCUUUUCUUAACGCCACCCAUUUAAUAAUUAGAAUAAGUUAAACUUUUUGUUUGCACCUAUUUUUAUUACUUAAAUACCCUUGUUUUCAUUUUCUUCUUUACUAAAAUCCCACAUUUUUCGUUGUAUAAGUGUGCAAUAUCAUAAUAUGGUCUUCUUUCUUUUGAAUUUUAUUUAUUAAAAAAUUUCAUUAAAAUUUGAAAAUAAACCCACAUUAUUAUCUAUAAUUUGUCUAUCUAUAUUUUUCACUACUUAAACCCAUAUGAUUUUAAAAAAAAAUUAUUUUAUCAAAUUAUUAUGAGUAAUUUUCCUAAUGAUAAAAAGUGGAGUGGUUAUAGAAAAUUUAUUAACCAGUUAACUAAAACUAAAUAUUGAAGUAAGUAAACUUGUAGAUUUUAUAAUGAAUUAUUAGAUGUUCUUGGUUUUUGCGAAAAAACAUAAUCAGCAUUAAAGAGAUGAUUGUUAUUCUUUUAUAUGCUUAUAAUCAUGACUUAAGUAGUAAAUAUAAAGAAGGGAUUUUAAAGGGUGACAAUAACUCCACUCUUGAUUGAAUUUAAUUUUUUGAUCACGGAAUGCAAAAAUUUCUUUUUUUUUUUCAAAAUACAUGGGGUAUACUAAGGAUAAAAUUAUGUUCUAAUCAUGGUAUCGUAAUCCUCUUUUAUUUUCUAUGAUUCAACCCUUUAUUUUCUUUCUUAUUUACAAUUUAUUUAUAAGGACAACGAUAAUUUUAUUUUUCCAUUCUUCUACCCUUCUUCUCCAUAUUCUACCCAAUUUUCUCUGUUUAAUCAUUAAUCAACCACUAGUGAUGAACCUCUUAUGAUUAAAAAAACAGUAUUAAUCAACCAAUUAUAAUUAACAACAUCCAACUUCUUUGCAACUAUUGGUUCGUUCCCUUAAUUGCAAGAGCUUGAUCAUUAACAUUUAUUUUUACUCCGUACAACAUUGAUAAUGCCAAAAUUGACCUUACCUAAAUAAGACUAUUUUUUUUUUCUUUUAACACCUAUAAAAGUAUUUAAACAUAUGUAGCUAAUUUUUAUGUCGACACAUUUAUUAACAACACUGUUAGUACCAAAAUUGCAUUAGCUAAAUAAGACUAUUUUUUUUUUCCAAACAUCCAUAAAAAUACUUAUCAAACAUUUAGGCUUUAGCUAAUUCCUAUGUUGACACAUUUAUUAGUCUACAAAAUGCCUUCGUUUAGAGUAGUUGCGAAAACUAUUAUGAUUUUUUGUUUUAAUUUUCUAAAUCAAAUCCAUUUUUCUCCAGUUUUUUUUUUCUCCGGUAGCCAUUUGCCCAUACUUAUGUUUUGCCCCCAUCCACCCCUCCCCCCCAAAAAAAAGUCAACAACACAAUUCUUCUAAUGAUCGAUUGAUUUUUUUUAUUUUGCCCCUUAAUUUCCUUCUUUUUUUAAAUUGCACCAUGCUAUUUUCUUGCACUGAUAUUGUUGCUUCUUUUUUUUAUUCAUUUUCUUUUAUUUCUACUUUAACUGCAAAACUACUUUUUUUGGUAAAUAAUUAAUUUGUUGAAUUUUUUCUAUUGUAAGGAAAAAUGUGGCAAGUCAAAUAAUGAGAGCAUGAAAGGAUGUGAGCAUGAGACCGUGAGAACAUUUAAGCAUGUAAGCAUGAGGGCACGUGAGCAUGGGAGCAUAUGAGUAUGUGAGCAUGAGAUAAUGAGAGCAUGUAAGCAUGACAACAGAAGAGCAUGUGAGCAUGCUAGUUCAGUAGAAAGUUUAAUAAGUCAAUUAAACAUAACUAUAUACGAGCAUGAGAGUAUAUGAUCAUGAGAUAAUGAAAAACAUGUUAGCAUGAAAGCAUGCAAGCUCAGUAGGAAACUAAUAAAUCAAUUAAGCAUGUUACAUGAAAGCAUGAGACCAUGAGAGCACGUGAUCAUGAGAGCAUGUGACCAUGGGACCACGAGAGCACGCGAGCAUGUACCAGAGCAUGAGAGCAUACAAGCUCAGUAAAAAGCUUAAUAAGUCAAUUAAGUACAACUACACUCAGUAGGAAGUUUAAUAAGUCAAUUAAGUACAGCUACACUCAGUAAGAAGCUUAAUAAGUCAAUUAAACACAGUUACAUAAGAGCAUACAAGCUCAGUAAGAAGCUUAAUAAGUUAAUUAAGCUCAGUUAAAUGAAAGCAUAAAGUCAAAUGAGCAGAACUGUUAGAGAGAAUGAUUGCAACACAACAUUGUGAAAACACUUAAUAAGUCAAAAAAGUAUGAUUGCGGGAGAUUGCGGUUGUAGGAGAGCAUAAUAGCACAAGAGCGCUACCAUGGGAAAUGAGUUUAACUAAAAAACCCUAGCUGGUGAAUCUAAUAACUAGGCACCAAUAGUUGGAAACAUUAUCAAAGCCUAGUAAAAGAAAUUAGAAGCUCUUGAAGCACAAAGCGAGAUAAAAAAGGAGAUAGAUGUUGGAGAUAAGUAUUGAUAUUAGAUAAAACUUAAUCUAAGAAGGAGAUAAAUAUUGAUGUUAGAUAAAAGUCUAAGUGAUAAAGAUGAUCAACAAGAGGAAUUAUCGAGGAAUCGAGAUAUAAAUUUUAUUAUAAAUAGAGAAUCCAUGAUGCAUAGAGGUAUAAGAGUAAAUAGUUAGACCAAAAAAAAUAAAAAAAAAGAGCUUCAUUGUAAUUCUUAUUUAAUAGUGAACAUUACUCUUUCUAUACCCAUAGAUAUAGCUAAGUGUUAAACCACAUAAAUUCUCUAUGUUUUUUUUUCUUAUAUCAUCACAUUAUUUAAUUCUCUAGUUGAUUAGAAAUUAGCGUCAACAUUUAAAAAAAAAAGCAAUGCCCUUAAUUGCAAAUCACAUUUGGGUAUUUUGUAAUUAAAAUUUUUGAUAAAAUAUUAGUUUGCAGAGUAUUUUGUAGGGUGAAAAUACUCUCAUCCAAUUUUUAAUUAUCUAAUUAUUUAUUAAUUUGAAAUAGUCCAAAUUUAUUGAAACGUUUUAUUAUUUUUAAUUUCAGUACACAACAAGGGCUGCAAUGUUAAUAACCAAUUUAACGCAUCCACCUGCUAAAACUACUGUUCCGUAAAAUCUAAUGGUGACAACACAAACACCAAAAAAAAAAAAAAUUUGGGGGUAUUUUACAACAGUUGUAGGGUAGUUAGACCGGUCUACUAAUAGUUUAAAUACAUGUACUUUUACUACAAAUUAAAUAUGAGUAUAAUUGGAAAAUUUAUAUUUACUGGACAUGAGGCCUUCACCCUUAUAUUUAAGAAAAUAUAAAUGCUUCUAAUAAUAUUAGAGAAAGUAUAUUUAUUAUUGCUCAUAAUUGCAAGAGAAGAUUUUUAUUAAAUGCAGGUUUAGUAUAACUUAUUUAAUGAUCAUAAGUGAUUAUGUAAUUUCUAAAUUUUUUAAAAUUUUUUUUGUAUUGUCUAGCAGUACUUUGAGAGGAGUUUUGGAGAUUAAGUACCUAUUUGCUAUGAUUUAUCUAAUGGUCAUAAAUACUUAUGUAAUUCCACAAGCUCUUUUUAAAUUUUUCGCUUAUUUAAUUAUUUUUUUAGUAGAGCUUUUGAAGAUUAAAUGAGCUAUAUUGAGCUUGAAUUUUAGGUUUUUGAGACUAGAUGUUUAAUUUUAUUUUUAAAUUAUAUAUCAUAUAGUUCAGCCUCUUUUUUAAAAUGUUAAAAUACCUAAAAUGUCAUUUACUUAUUUGUCAAACAUAUUUCAUUCCUUUCAUAACAUAUUUUUAAAAAAGCUUACCAAUUAAAAUAAUUUUAUAAUUUCAAUAAAAACUCUUGUUGACAACCAAAUUUUUUUUCUUUUUUGGUAAAAACUUUAUUUAUAAAAGCUUUAAAUAACCUUAUUUGAAAAGUUAUACUAAAAAGAGUCCAAAUAACCUACUAUACCUCUAUUAACAACUCAAAUUCUGAGCUUUUGAAAGUAGAUCUUAAAAAGCAUUUUUUAAUAGUUAAAUUAUCUAAAAUAUUCUUUAUUUGUUACACAAUAUUAUUUCAUUUAUUUCAUAAUAUAAUUUUAGAAAAAUUAUCAAUUGAAAAUAAUUUUUUUAUAUUUUUUAAUAAAAAUUCUCUUUGAUAACUAAAUAAUUAAAAAAAUUUAAUAAAAACUCUAAUUUUUAAGAAACUUUGAAUUGAAAGGAGAAGCCUUAGGAGGGUGGAAAUAUCAACUGAAACAUGCAAAACAUGAGAUUUGAUGAUAAUCAAAGUCAAAUCAUCUAUUUAAGCUGGAACAAAUUGGAUGGCGUAAAUAAUCAGUGAGGGGAGGUGGGUAUAAUUAAUGAGAAUGACUAAAAUUAAAAAUUUAAUUUAAUUAACAUAGUUGUAUUGUCGGCUAUUUAUGAUUGGCUUUUGUAGUUUGUUUGGUAAACACUAGCUGCUUAAUUUGAAAGUUAAAUUGAUUUGAUUUUACAUUUAUAUAGUGAAAAAUCUAUUAUAUCUUUACUAAAUUUGCCAAAAUUAUUAUUUAAAAAUUAUAUUUACUACGUAAUAAUAACUUUUAUUUCAUAAUUAUAAUUUUUUUUUAUAACAGUUGUGGUUUAAAAGUUACAACACCUCAAUCCAAACAGGACCUUGGAUAUUUGCCCUUUUCACACAUUGGCAAAAAUUCAGUGCGUAAACAAUAAAAGAAAAGAAUUUUUUGUUGGGAGUACAGAAUGUAUGUUUAGUGUUUACCACUUACCUUAACUAUUGCAUAAUAUUGGCAUCAAGGACCAAAAUUAGUACUUAGCCUUAGAACUCUGCAACACAUACUUUUAAAAUAAAGAAAAUUGAGGGCAUGUUUGGAAUUGCUGUAAUUUAAAGAAUAAUUUGUUUAUACUCUGAUGAAAAAAUAACCAAUUAUACGAUACAACAAUUAGGAGUUUGGUUAAUUUUAUUGUUAAAGGUGCUAUAAGCGUCAAAAACACUUUGUAUGCAUUUAGUUAUUAAAAUGUUUUGAUGUGAUAUAAUGACCAUAAGAAACAAAGAAUAAAUUGCUCACACACAUUUUUUUUAAAAUUUUUCUAACACUCAAAUUUGUACAAUAUGAAAAAGUAAACCACUAAUUGAAAAUUCUUUGAACUUUAUAAUUCAUAGGAAUAUGUUAAUGAACAUAUAUAUGUUAAUGAACAUAAAAAUAUGCAUCAACUACAAUUAUCCUGGUAAAUCAUAUCAUAAAUUGCUUUUAAAAGAAACCCUACUACCUCUUUAAUCAUGGAGCUUGGGACAAUGUAGCCAUUUUUAAUGAUAUUAAAACAAGGUCUGAGGAAAUCCAUCAUACUGUUACCAUGCCUCUUCUUAUGGGAAACAUACGUGUUGAAAAAUGGAUUGGAUGGACUCCUCCUACCUCGCCUUGGUGCAAACUAAACACCGAUGGAACUAGGAAGCAAUCUGGAGCAGCGAGUGCUCUACUUCGAGACCAGAAUGGCAGAUGGAUUAUUGGCUUUGGCAUGAAUAUAGGCAUGUGUUCAGUUAUAAUGGCGGAACUUUGGGGUCUUUAUCAAGGACUGUGCAUGGCCUGGCAGCAAGGAUGUCGUUGGAUAUCUGUUGAAGUGGAUAGCCUUGUGUCACACAACUAGUCUCAAAUCCAGUGGCUCACACAUAUGAAUAUGCCCCUCUCCUUCAAGCCAUAAAGGAUCUCAUCAAGCAAGGUUGGCACAUCACCGUUCGACAUGUUUAUCGUGAAACAAAUCAUGCUAUUGAUUUCUUAGCGAAUUAUGCUCUCUCUGCUCCCUUGGGCUUUCAUAUUUUCUAUAACCCCCCUCCUAGUUUGGCUUCAAUUAUCACUCGUGAUAUGUAUGGUGUAGCUUAUUCCCGUCUAAUUUUAUCCUAACCCUUUUAGAGCCCCAUUAUAUAUAUAUAAAAAAAAAAAAAAAAGCAACCCUACUACCUGGUGCUAAAAUCGAGAAAGGAUGAUUGUCACUCCAACUCUAAACAUACUUCUAAUUUAUUAUUGUUUGUCACAAAUGAAAGAGAAAAAGAAAAUUAAUUAAAAGGCAGGAACUUUUUAAAACACAAGAAGUACGAAAAUAAAAUUUUAAAAAUGAUGCCUCUCCGACGAAGCUACGGUGCCCCGGGUGCACGGUACCCUUAUUUUUGAUAAAUUACUUUGCAGUCCCUCUUGUGAUAAAUUAAUAUAUUUUAUUUUAUAUUUAAAUUAUUUAUUACAGAUUAAAUUAAUAUUAUAUUAUUUUCAAAAGAUAAAAAAAUAUUUUAUGUAUUAAAAUUUGUUUUCAGGUUAUUGGCCUUAUAUUGUCAUUAAUUUUAGUAGUAAAUUAGAUCAAUUGAUCAAAAUAUAAAAUUUAAAAAUUAUGCAAAAUUAUUUGUCAAAUUUUUAACUAUUUUUCUUUUUUGAAACACAACGGGGAUGUCAAUGUUAAGAACCAAAGAGAAUACAUCCAUGCCAUUGAAACAAAUUUUGCAUUAAAUCUAAUGGGCAACUCAUAUAUGGACAAAAUGUGGGAUACCAUGCACUAGGUGCACGGUAGCUGGACCUCUACUUUUGUCUCUCAUCCCGUAAUUUCUAUCAUAUACUUUUCACCGAAAAAUAUUAGCUCAAAAUAACAGCGAGAGUGGCACCGUGCUGCCACAUGUAUAAAUAAUGCAGCAGAUUAUAUAGAAAUUAUAAAUUUUAACACUGCUAAUAGCCUAAUAACAAAUCAAUUUCUUCAUUAUCUAUGAGCACCGGUCUGAACUUAGUACCUCUUGUUUCCGCUCAAUAAAUUUUACUAAUUUAAUUAACAUACAAUGACAGGAAACGAGAGGAUAUACUCCAUUUACUAACUAGUCCUCGUAACAAAAAUUACUCCUUCAUUCACUACAAGGAUUUAUUACUCAUACUUGAGAAACUUCUUCGUGUUUUGCCUAACUUUAGCACGUCGGGCCUAACCUUAACUACCGAAGGUAAAGACUUCAUUCAAAUUUGAGACAGAAUUAAUUCUUCAUAGUGUACUAGAAAACAUCACAAAAUGUCACUGCAAUUUAAGAUCUGGAAAGAGAUCUUAGAUCAAAAACCUAAUGACUUUAUUUAACAGAAGAAAAGUACUAAAACAAAUUUUUUUAAAAAUAAUCAUAAUAAAUGAACAUAAAACACAAUAAACCCUAUAGAAGUCAUUCCUAGAAAAUAUUUCGUCAAAGAGCCUACACAAAAACCACGACCAUAGGUCUAUAAGAACCUCCUCGCACCACCAUAUCAAAACUCUAUCGAAUUAGAAAAUAGGAAUAUGUGUGUGUGUGUGUGUGUGUGUGUAUAAAAGGCAGCUGUAUUAUGCACUAUGAAAGUCUAAUAACUCGGCAUCAUCCAAGUAACAGUGUUUACAUUCUCUGAGAUGACCCCACAAUAAUGGUACAAGUGUGACUAGUUGAAAGGUCGUGGAAGCUAUUAACAGCUUUUCACCAGCGAUAAUUAGUUAAUGGAGCAACCUCCACAUUGCACAUGUAGCUUUCUAUUUUCCCCAAGUCCCCACCUACAAACCUCCAAACACUCUCAUAAAUCCCUAAUGCAUUCCCCUCCUAUUUAUUAACCUUACACCAACUUUAGCAAAACGAAACAAAAGCAACACGGAUUAUUCUUUUUUUCCUUUUUUUUUUUUUGCCCUUUGUGAGCUAGCUAAAGAGGAAGUUUGAGGUUGUAUUUAUUAAAAUAUAUUUUUCCUUUUUGUUGUAUCUGAGUGAUCUAAGCAGAUGGGUAUCGUCUCUUUGAUAACAGGAAGGCCUGGCUCAAGUGGGUUUGGUUCAGCUUCAACUGCUGAGCAGGUUACUGAUGGGAUUGAUGCAACCAAUCUCACUGCUGUCAUCACAGGUUAGCUUCUCUUAUAGCUUUAGCCUUCAAAAGUUCAACAUUAUGGUAUUUGGUGGUUUCUUGGACACAUGUGACUCUUUGCGUGCAUCUUUCAAUCAACUUAUUGUUUUCUUUAUUGUUAAAUCUUUUUUUGUGGUGAAGAAUAUGGAACUUUUAUUCAACUAAUUUGUAAUGCCGGCUCUACUACGUUAGUUGAGGCCUUUGGGGAAACUAUGCAUUAGGUUUUAUUUAUUUAUUUGUCAAAGUAAAAUUUUUAAAUUAAAAUUGUAGUUUAAAGCUUUCCUUUCUUGUUUCUUCACAUGAAAAAUCAAUCCUUAUGUGCCAAAAAUAAAAAUAUAUAAUCGUUUACAUUACGUUCUCAUGCUCAAAAUUAUAUAUAAUUCACAAAGGGAUAAAUGUGUCCUUUCAUAUUUUAUUUAGGAAUUUAUUAGAAGAAGUAUAAUUUAAGAAUUUAUGUAAGCAAAUGUUUAUUAAUAUAAGUUUUAGUAUUUUGAUUGAAUUUUUCAAAUAUAAGAAAAUGGGAUCUUUAACUGCAUCCGUUGAGGCACAUACUUGCCUGGGCUUUUGGCCGAUCAUGCAAAUUUGGAUCCAUAUCCCACUGACGUUUGUGUUAUGCCUCCCAGCCCCAAUCUAACCCAUUAACUAGUAAAUAAUAAAACAGGAUAAUUCUCGAUUAGAAGAUUUAAUUUGUAUGAAUCGGUCUGCUGUACCGUACAUCCGCCUUGGCCGUACAGCAGCUCACUUUAAAUAAAAUUACAAUUAAGGAUAAUUGAAAAUUAAACACAUAUAAAUUUUUUUUCCCAGCAAAUUAGUUAAUUCAUAAUCAAUAUUUUUCGUCUAUAAGAACCUCCUCGCACCACCAUAUCAAAACUCUAUCGAAUUAGAAAAUAGGAAUAUGUGUGUGUGUGUGUGUGUGUGUGUAUAAAAGGCAGCUGUAUUAUGCACUAUGAAAGUCUAAUAACUCGGCAUCAUCCAAGUAACAGUGUUUACAUUCUCUGAGAUGACCCCACAAUAAUGGUACAAGUGUGACUAGUUGAAAGGUCGUGGAAGCUAUUAACAGCUUUUCACCAGCGAUAAUUAGUUAAUGGAGCAACCUCCACAUUGCACAUGUAGCUUUCUAUUUUCCCCAAGUCCCCACCUACAAACCUCCAAACACUCUCAUAAAUCCCUAAUGCAUUCCCCUCCUAUUUAUUAACCUUACACCAACUUUAGCAAAACGAAACAAAAGCAACACGGAUUAUUCUUUUUUUCCUUUUUUUUUUUUUGCCCUUUGUGAGCUAGCUAAAGAGGAAGUUUGAGGUUGUAUUUAUUAAAAUAUAUUUUUCCUUUUUGUUGUAUCUGAGUGAUCUAAGCAGAUGGGUAUCGUCUCUUUGAUAACAGGAAGGCCUGGCUCAAGUGGGUUUGGUUCAGCUUCAACUGCUGAGCAGGUUACUGAUGGGAUUGAUGCAACCAAUCUCACUGCUGUCAUCACAGGUUAGCUUCUCUUAUAGCUUUAGCCUUCAAAAGUUCAACAUUAUGGUAUUUGGUGGUUUCUUGGACACAUGUGACUCUUUGCGUGCAUCUUUCAAUCAACUUAUUGUUUUCUUUAUUGUUAAAUCUUUUUUUGUGGUGAAGAAUAUGGAACUUUUAUUCAACUAAUUUGUAAUGCCGGCUCUACUACGUUAGUUGAGGCCUUUGGGGAAACUAUGCAUUAGGUUUUAUUUAUUUAUUUGUCAAAGUAAAAUUUUUAAAUUAAAAUUGUAGUUUAAAGCUUUCCUUUCUUGUUUCUUCACAUGAAAAAUCAAUCCUUAUGUGCCAAAAAUAAAAAUAUAUAAUCGUUUACAUUACGUUCUCAUGCUCAAAAUUAUAUAUAAUUCACAAAGGGAUAAAUGUGUCCUUUCAUAUUUUAUUUAGGAAUUUAUUAGAAGAAGUAUAAUUUAAGAAUUUAUGUAAGCAAAUGUUUAUUAAUAUAAGUUUUAGUAUUUUGAUUGAAUUUUUCAAAUAUAAGAAAAUGGGAUCUUUAACUGCAUCCGUUGAGGCACAUACUUGCCUGGGCUUUUGGCCGAUCAUGCAAAUUUGGAUCCAUAUCCCACUGACGUUUGUGUUAUGCCUCCCAGCCCCAAUCUAACCCAUUAACUAGUAAAUAAUAAAACAGGAUUAGAGCUAUUAGCACCCCUACAUUAUUCUCAUAAAACCUCACUUUAAAUAAAAUUACAAUUAAGGAUAAUUGAAAAUUAAACACAUAUAAAUUUUUUUUCCCAGCAAAUUAGUUAAUUCAUAAUCAAUAUUUUUCAAAAAAAAAUCUAUAUGUUACUUCCUAUCUAAUUAAAAUAAAUUGUAUAAAUUUAGAAUAAUUUAUUGUUCUCUUUUGAUUUCUUAUUGAUUAAAUAUUUUAUACUUAAAAUUGCUUUGAAAUUAUAAUUUGAAAUAUGUGUUAUUUCAACCAAUGAUUAAUACUAAAAAACUUAUCACCCAUACAACUUUUUAAUUUGUGUGUAGAGUAAUAAUAAAAUUGAAAAUAAUUAAAAAAAAAUAGCACAAUAAUACUUUGAGUUUUAACAAUAAAAUAAAUCAAAUGAAAAAUGAGAAUUUAAAAAUGUGUAUCUAAAAAAAUGGAUAUUUUCGGAAAUAAAAUAAAUAUAGUUUAAAAAAGGGGUUCAAUGAGAAAAUCAGAGGGGUGCCAAUAGUCCAACAGUCCAACUCAUAAAACAGAGGGAGAAGUAUUAGGCUUGUUUCGUCAUUGUCUUUGGCCAAUCAUUUUCCGUUUUGCGAAAAUAAUAAAAUGAAAAACAUGUUCUGUAGAACACUUUCUACACAUCGUUUUUCAUUUGAUAGAAAUUGAUGGUAUCCAUUUUCUACUUUUUGUUGAGAAAAGCAGACAAGGAUUAAUUGUCGUUUCAAUUUUACUGCAUCGGAAAUUGGACAAAGUCUCCACAAACUUUUUGGUUUUACUUCAUCAUACUUGCUAUGCCCCAUAUGUCUUCCUUUUUUAUUUAAAAUCUCACAGCAAUUAGAAAAAUAAUAUAUGGGUCCAAAUAUCUUUUAUUUUAUAAUUGCUUCACACAAAUUUUACAAUUUUUAUUUUAAACACUACUUUUAAAACACGUUACUAAAACGCGUUUUUAUAUUCACCAAAAAUUAGUAAUUUUUUAUUAUUAAAAAAAUACAAAAACACUAUUUGAAAAAUAAUGUCAAAUGCACCCUUAACUUGUCAAUCAAAUUUAUAAUUCAAAAGUAAUUUUCAAAAAUUGAGUGUGUUUGGUAUUAUUUUUUAAUUGGUGUUUUAUAUACUACUUCAAAAAAAAAACAUUCUUGAUGUGACAUUUUUUAAAUUAAAAAUAUGUUGAAUGGUUUGUUAGGGAUGAUAAUGGGGUGGGGUGGUGUGGGGGUGGAGAGGCCCAUUCCAUUUCCCACUUUAUUAAAAAUUUCGUCUCAAUUUUCUACCCUAUUCCUCAAUAAUUUUAGUGGGGUGGGGAGGGGAAAUCCCUAUGUGGGAAAUGAUUUCUCCAUCUUCACCCCAUUCUCAAUUUAUUUAUUUUAUAGUAAAUAUAGAUACAUGAUUUCAAAAAAUUAAGAAUUAAAAACUUAAAUAAAAUUAUUACCAUAUUAUAAAGUAUUUAAAUUAUUUAAAAAAUCUCCAAAUGUUUGAAAUAAUAUCUUAAAAUGAUAUCAAAAUUUAAAAAAAAAUGUUUGAAGAGAACAUUAUCUUAAGAGAAAAAAAACAUAACAAUAUUUUAGGGUUGAAAAAAAAUUAUAUUGUAGAAUUUUCUAAGUUAUACCUAUUAUAUAAAGUAAAAAGAAAAAGAAAAUUUAUUAACUAACAUUGUAAUUCAUAAAGAAAAAAUUAUUAAAUAAAAAUUAGAAAAAAUAUUCAUAUAUAAUGGGGAUUUGGGUGGGGGUGAGGUAGAGAGUAUAAAACCAAACCCUACAUGAUUAAGAAUUUGAGGAUUAUUCUUUCUCCAUUCCUCAUCCUAUUCUCCAAAAAUUAUUUAAAAUUCACCUCAUUUGGGGUAUUUGGGGUGAAGCUCUCUGGGACCCCAAACCCAUGGAAGCUUUUGCUAUCCAUGUAGUUUGUUUUAUAAUGAGGGGGAAAAUGACAUUUUUCCAUUAGUACAGGUUUGAUCAGAAAUUAACCAUAUUAAACGUUUUUUAAAAACUCAUUUUGAAAAUAAUUAAACCCAAUGUGAUUUCUAAAUUAUUCUUUUUGUUUUUUUUCCCCAAAAAUUAAGAAUUUUUGUAUGCAAAUCGUGUCUUAACUGUAGACACUUAGAAAAANNNNNNNNNNNNNNNNNNNNNNNNNNNNNNNNNNNNNNNNNNNNNNNNNNNNNNNNNNNNNNNNNNNNNNNNNNNNNNNNNNNNNNNNNNNNNNNNNNNNNNNNNNNNNNNNNNNNNNNNNNNNNNNNNNNNNNNNNNNNNNNNNNNNNNNNNNNNNNNNNNNNNNNNNNNNNNNNNNNNNNNNNNNNNNNNNNNNNNNNNNNNNNNNNNNNNNNNNNNNNNNNNNNNNNNNNNNNNNNNNNNNNNNNNNNNNNNNNNNNNNNNNNNNNNNNNNNNNNNNNNNNNNNNNNNNNNNNNNNNNNNNNNNNNNNNNNNNNNNNNNNNNNNNNNNNNNNNNNNNNNNNNNNNNNNNNNNNNNNNNNNNNNNNNNNNNNNNNNNNNNNNNNNNNNNNNNNNNNNNNNNNNNNNNNNNNNNNNNNNNNNNNNNNNNNNNNNNNNNNNNNNNNNNNNNNNNNNNNNNNNNNNNNNNNNNNNNNNNNNNNNNNNNNNNNNNNNNNNNNNNNNNNNNNNNNNNNNNNNNNNNNNNNNNNNNNNNNNNNNNNNNNNNNNNNNNNNNNNNNNNNNNNNNNNNNNNNNNNNNNNNNNNNNNNNNNNNNNNNNNNNNNNNNNNNNNNNNNNNNNNNNNNNNNNNNNNNNNNNNNNNNNNNNNNNNNNNNNNNNNNNNNNNNNNNNNNNNNNNNNNNNNNNNNNNNNNNNNNNNNNNNNNNNNNNNNNNNNNNNNNNNNNNNNNNNNNNNNNNNNNNNNNNNNNNNNNNNNNNNNNNNNNNNNNNNNNNNNNNNNNNNNNNNNNNNNNNNNNNNNNNNNNNNNNNNNNNNNNNNNNNNNNNNNNNNNNNNNNNNNNNNNNNNNNNNNNNNNNNNNNNNNNNNNNNNNNNNNNNNNNNNNNNNNNNNNNNNNNNNNNNNNNNNNNNNNNNNNNNNNNNNNNNNNNNNNNNNNNNNNNNNNNNNNNNNNNNNNNNNNNNNNNNNNNNNNNNNNNNNNNNNNNNNNNNNNNNNNNNNNNNNNNNNNNNNNNNNNNNNNNNNNNNNNNNNNNNNNNNNNNNNNNNNNNNNNNNNNNNNNNNNNNNNNNNNNNNNNNNNNNNNNNNNNNNNNNNNNNNNNNNNNNNNNNNNNNNNNNNNNNNNNNNNNNNNNNNNNNNNNNNNNNNNNNNNNNNNNNNNNNNNNNNNNNNNNNNNNNNNNNNNNNNNNNNNNNNNNNNNNNNNNNNNNNNNAAGGGGGGGGGGGGGGAACAAAACAAUGAGAGAGAGAAAAAAAAAAUGUACCUGGUUAUACUUUUUGUCCUCUCUUUCUUUUAAAUUCUCUCAUGUUUUUUCAUGUUCAUAAUUUAUAUUGAUAGCAUGCUUUUGUAAAUCUUCUUCAGUUCUUCAGAUUGCUAUUUGCUUUAAAAAUUGCGCUCAUUUUCUUCAUUUUCUCUCUCUCUCAAGAAAGAAAGCACUAGAACCUUUUUUUUAUAUAUAAAAGAGAAUUUAUGAAUAAAUAAAACAGGUUAUUAUCUUUUUAUUGCUUAACUUAUUGAGAAAUAUAAGUGCAACAAGUAUUGUUCCAUAACAUUUUACUACUAAAGAAUUGUAAAAUCUUAGAUUUUAUUAUUUUUCCUUAAAAAUUGUUAGUUAAUUGUUGGUUAACUUUUAAGAUACUAAUUUUGCCCUUGCUUUGAAAAGCAUACAAAGAAUAUUGAUGAAUUUACAAAACAUUAAUACAAAGUAUAUUAACAUUUUUUUUUAUCAAUACCGAUCAUAAUAUCUUUCUAAUUAAUAAUUUUACCCUUAAUAUUCAAUGAAAUUGUUGUUUUGGUUUUACUUUACCCCAAUUACAUCUACAUGAUGUUUGCGAUCAAUUAACCGUUAACUAAUCAUUAUAAUUAAAUUUAUAAUUAUUUAGUAGUAAAGUGUUAUAGUACAGUCAUUAGUGCACCUAAGCAGUAAAAAGAUAACCUAAGCAGUAAAAAGAUAAUAACUCAAAUAAAAAUAUUUGAACACAAUUAAGAUAUAUAUUUGGGGAUAAUUAAUUGAUGAAGGAACAUGCUUGCAGGAGGGGCAAGUGGAAUUGGUUUGGAGACAGCAAGGGUCUUGGCUCUACGUAAAGCUCAUGUUAUUAUUGAUGCAAGAAACAUGGCAGCUGCAAAUGUAUUCUAAAAGAAGAUGACACUGCUCGUGUUGAUACUCUGAAACUUGAUCUUUCCUCUAUUGCUUCUAUUAAAGAUUUUGCUCAAAACUUCAUUGCUCUUAAUCUUCCCCUCAACAUCUUAAUGUAAUUUUACUCGCCCCUCUUUCUCGAAAUAUUACAUAACUAUCUACUGAUGUUUCCGAGAAACAAUAAAAGCAUACUAUAACAUGCAAAAAUUAAUUUAAUGCAGAAACAAUGCUGGAAUCAUGUUCUGUCCCUACCAGAUUUCUGAAGAUGGAAUAGAGAUGCAAUUUGCAACAAAUCAUAUUGGUGAAUACUUUAAUUUGAAGCUGUAUUGGUUGUUAUUAAUUAACUAGCUAAAUUAGUAUUCAACUUUAAAUAUUACUUUUGCAGGGCAUUUUCUUUUAACAAAUUUGCUUCUGGACACAAUGAAUCGCACGGCUAAAGAAACGGGUAUUGAGGGCAGGAUAGUGAAUCUAUCAUCAAUAGCCCACCAAUACACAUACAAAGGUGGCAUUCGGUUUCAGAAGAUCAAUGACAAAGCAAGGUACGUUUUGAUCAUAUAAUAACAAUUAAAUCAGCUAAAAAUUUCUUCUCAUGUACGUUAUAAAUUUUGAUUUCAUCAUAUUAAUGCGUUAUUAAAUUGUAACGUAUUAUCACUGGGCAAUUAUGCUAAUUGAGUUGAAAAGUUAGUGAAAAAGAAAAAGAUAAAACAAAAAUCAUGGAUCUAUGAUGAUUGUUUACUUUUUUAACAAGCUAAUAUUAUUAUGUUAUAUGCAAAGGUCAUUAAGAAAUUCUCUAAAUACCUUGUUAUUGUCAAAAAAAAUUUAUUGACAAAUUAAUUUUAGCUAAUUCAUAAUUUAACUUCAAUCCACGACAAUAACCGAAAUGAACAGACAGACUAGCUAGCAAGGUACUAGCCUUGUAACUGCCUCCAUUUAAUGCUAAUUAAGCAAAACUCAAAGAAACUACUGCUGAUGAUCAUGAUAAUGUCCAAAACCCGAGCUGUAAAAAUUAGGAAGAGCAUCAUUGGAAGAAGGAGGAAUCCCAAGAGGUAAUUUGCUUUGAUGAUGAUGAGGAUUAAUAUUUUGAUUAUUCACACCAAAAAAUGGUGAAGGAUUAUUUUUGGAAUCGAUCAAAAUCUUGUUAGCUUGUUGUUCCACAUUCUUCUUUAGCUCUUCCAUCGCGGUCUUCAAUUGUUCAAGUUCAUGCAAUCCUAAUUCGUUUAUAGGAGCUUCCCACCAACAUUGGCGGCAACUUGCUUUCCUUAUCUCACUCAGCACUUCACCAUGCUUCUUCUCAACUUCUAGUUGAUGAAGCACUUGUGUUAGUUGCAUGUUGAGCUCUCGAAUGUUAGCAUUUCGAUGAGCUUCGAUAAGCCUAUCUGUGCUAGACUCCGAAGGCGGGUUAGGAUUUCGGGCAAGAUAAAGAUCAAGGAUUGAAUCAACAUUAGGGUGGCCGAAAGAGAAGGCCUUGUUGGCAGGAGAGAAGACUAUUAGGGCAAUAUCAACACCACAAAGUGUGCUAAGUUCACUGGCUUUUUUGAACACGCCGGCACGGCGUUUGGAGAAAGUUACUUGAAGAUUAUUUUUCUUUGGUAUUUUUGAAAUUGCAAUCUUUUGGCGACCCGCACAAGGCUUCUUCAUCUCCAUUGAUACAAAUUAAAAUCAAAGAUUACUAAAAAAAUUAUAAAAUGUUCGUUUACUUUUCUCUCUCUUAUAUAUAUAUAUAUAUAUACUAUUUGUUGUGGUAGCUGUUGGGGAAACACAAUAGUAUUUAUAGGGUUAAUCUACUUGAAGUUUGCCUUAUAACUUAAUUAUGUGAUUAAUUGAAGAUUUGCGAGUUACCAAAUUUUAUUCUUUAAUGCAUGAUUAGUGAGAACUAAUUAUUUUUACUAGUUAGCCUUCAUAAGAUAACAAUUUCAUUUAUGAGGUAAUCUGGUUAAGUUGAUUAACCAUAUUCGUUAGUAUUAAUUUCGAUAUAGAAAAGUCAUAACCGAAUUCUUUGAUUAUAUUUUCUAAUUAAUAUCUUUCUUCCUAUUAUAAUUACUUACUUUCUAGCAUUAAGUUCACAUAUGCAUUAAACCUAUGUAACAGUAGCAAUAUAUUAUUUAAACAGUUACAGAAGGGCAUUAUGCAUUACUCUAUUUGGUUUCAAUAAUUAUUAAUUAACUUAUUGUGUUAUUUGGGCAUUCGUGCUUACUAUAGCCAGCAGCUUCAGUGCCUGAUCCAUAUUAAUUCCUUGCAUUUUAAUGGAACAAGGAGAAAUCAAGUUCAAGAAGGCAAAUCAUAUGUAUCCUCUCUUCAGGAUUUUUUUUCAGUUACAUAUUUCUCUAAUAGGAACAUCAUAAUUCUAUAAUUAGUAAAAUAUCUCUACAUUGUCGAUAGAUUUGUUUCAGUCGCUACAAUACUUUUAUCCCAUAUUCUUUUUUCCUGUUUGCUCAAAGGCAGGCAAAGGCUUCCUCCGUUGCGUGACGUGCGCUAAGAUUCAUAUUUCACAGCAUUAUUUUUCGAGUAAAUAACCAUAAGGAAAGAAUGAUUAUCCUUGGGCGGGAUAAUGAGUCUUUCUGUCAAAAUAUUCAUGCACAUAUAGCAAUACUCAUGCAUCACUAUUGGAUAAAACAAGAAUAUGUGUGCACAAAAAAAAAAAAAAAAAAUUAUGCAAACGCAACAAAAUUUAUAUUUUCGAAAUAUGAUUAUCAAUAUCUGAGGAAAAAAAAUCGAAUCUCAUUAGGGAAUCUUGCCACGUGAUCAUGAAUAAUUGACUAAUUGUGGAAGAUGAAGAUGAUAGUGAGGUGAGUUGCCGAUGGUCAUGGUGUUGUGUGGAGGCAAAAGAAAUGGUGGUGGGUUUGGAAGAGAAAGGGAGGAGGGGUUGUCGUGGGAGAGGCCAAGGGUGACUCUUGAGACACGAAGAGAAUGACAUUUCAGGGGAUUUGACGGAGAUUGAACAUGAAAAUUUGGAAAAGAAAGUUUCUUUCUUUCAGGAAUGAGCUAGUGAGCUGCAGCUGGAGUGAAAAGAACUGGAUUUUCCUUCUUUUUUUCUUUUUUUUUUUACCCUUGAAGGUCGUUUCCGGGCGUUUUUCUGCCAAUUGCAUAAACCAAUCCUGAAUCCUUAACUA